CCUCCCAGACCCUCCCACCUCCUGGACAGCAUCCAUUUUGAAGACAGCUUCAAAAUGGAUGCUGUCCAUGAGGUGGGAGGGUCUGGGAGG